CAGAAAGUAGUUUAUUUGAAAACAUCAGCUUUGGGAGCUGGAGAGAGAGGUUUAAAUCCUUUUUCUGA
rnacentral:tRNA from 1 species